GGGAUCAUUACAGAGUUAUCCAACUCCCAAACCCAUGUGAACUUAUCUCUUUGUUGCCUCGGCGCAAGCUACCCGGGACCUCGCGCCCCGGGCGGCCCGCCGGCGGACAAACCAAACUCUGUUAUCUUCGUUGAUUAUCUGAGUGUCUUAUUUAAUAAGUCAAAACUUUCAACAACGGAUCUCUUGGUUCUGGCAUCGAUGAAGAACGCAGCGAAAUGCGAUAAGUAAUGUGAAUUGCAGAAUUCAGUGAAUCAUCGAAUCUUUGAACGCACAUUGCGCCCAUUAGUAUUCUAGUGGGCAUGCCUGUUCGAGCGUCAUUUCAACCCCUAAGCACAGCUUAUUGUUGGGACUCUACGGCUUCCGUAGUUCCUCAAAGACAUUGGCGGAGUGGCAGCAGUCCUCUGAGCGUAGUAAUUUUUUAUCUCGCUUCUGUUAGGUGCUGUCCCCCCGGCCGUAAAACCCCCAAUUUUUUCUGGUUGACCUCGGAUCAGGUAGGAAUACCCGCUGAACUUAAGCAUAU
rnacentral:rRNA from 1 species